CCUACGGGUGGCAGCAGUGGGGAAUAUUGGUCAAUGGGCGCAAGCCUGACCCAGCAACGCCGCGUGAAGGAAGAAGGCUUUCGGGGUGGAAACUUCUUUUUAUAGGGAAGAACAGAAUACGGUACCUGUCGAAUAAGCCACGGCUAACUACGUGCCAUCAGCCGCCGUAAUACGUAGGGGGCAAGCGUUGUCCGGAUUUACUGGGUGUAAAGGGCGUGUAGCCGGGCUGACAAGUCAGAUGUGAAAUCCGGGGGCGCAACCCUCGAACUGCGUUUGAAACUGUUGGUCUUGAGUAUCGGCGAGGUAGGCGGAAUUCGUAGUGUAGCGGUGAAAUGCUUAGAUAUUAGGAGGAACACCAGUGGCGAAGGCGGCUUGCUGGACGACAACUGACGGUGAGGCGCGAAAGCGUGGGGAGCAAACAGGAUUAGAUACCCUUGUAGUC
rnacentral:rRNA from 1 species